rnacentral:rRNA from 1 species
CAGCCGUAAACAAUGUGCGUUAGGUAUGUCGGUAACCACGUGUUACUGAUGUGCCGAAGAGAAAUCGUGAAACGCACCACCUGGGAAGUACGGUCGCAAGGCUGAAACUUAAAGGAAUUGGCGGGGGAGCACCACAACAGGUGGAGCCUGCGGUUUAAUUGGAUUCAGCGCCGGACAUCUCACCGGAUAAGACAGCUGAAUGAUUGUCAAUCUGAAGGUUUUACAUGACUAGCUGAGAGGAGGUGCAUGGCGUCAGUGACU